UCCCUAGUGGCUCAGCUGGUAAAGAAGCUGCCUGCAAUGUAGGAGACCUGGGUUCAAUCCUUGGCUUGGGAA
rfam:Ovis aries breed Texel chromosome 17, whole genome shotgun sequence.